GACGAACGCUGGCGGCGUGCUUAACACAUGCAAGUCGAGCGGUAAGGCCCUUUCGGGGGUACACGAGCGGCGAACGGGUGAGUAACACGUGGGUGACCUGCCCUCAGCUCUGGGAUAAGCCUGGGAAACCGGGUCUAAUACUGGAUAUGACUCCACGACGCAUGUUGUGGGGUGGAAAGCCUUGUGCGGCUGAGGAUGGGCCCGCGGCCUAUCAGCUUGUUGGUGGGGUGAUGGCCUACCAAGGCGACGACGGGUAGCCGGCCUGAGAGGGCGACCGGCCACACUGGGACUGAGACACGGCCCAGACUCCUACGGGAGGCAGCAGUGGGGAAUCUUGCGCAAUGGGCGAAAGCCUGACGCAGCGACGCCGCGUGAGGGAUGACGGCCUGG
rnacentral:rRNA from 1 species